rnacentral:rRNA from 1 species
AAUUGCGACCCCAGGUCAG